rnacentral:lncRNA from 1 species
CGCAUGUGCGCGGUGUGGCUCCAGGGAACGUAGGUCCCGCGCCUGUGAUAAGUAAGGUUGGAUUUUCUCUUCCCUGAGGUGAAGGAUGCCCGGAGGCCUCGGCAGGACCGUGCGGAAACGGGCCUUCUGCCCAAAAGAUGCUGCUUCUCUCCUUAUUCUUUCCCCUCAGAAUCUCGCUGUCUCCUUCCAACCACCUGUGGUCGGCAUCCCCGCGUUGUCACUGCGACGCAGAGGCGAGCGAGGUGGCGGGAAGCACCCGCGGGGCGGGGAGGGACCCUGCGGGCGCGGACUCCACACCAAGCCUCUGCUCAGCGUCACCCCGCUUGCUGUGUCCUCGCAGGUCGCAGCUUCAUGGCCUGAUGCCUUCAGGAAGUAUUUUGAAGUCAUCGUGGCUGUGGAUUGGGGGAUUUCUUGUUUCCACUGACCUGUGAGGCCGCGCACGUGGAGGGAGGCACCCCGGGUCCUCCGGCACUGUCCGGCCUCGCCUGUGUCCCUAGUAGCAGUGGGCAUUUCCAGACGGUGCAGCUUGUGGCUAAAGUGACAGGAAGAUGUAGGAGCUUUCAGUCUUGGAUGAGGAUUCGAACUGAAGGGCUUAGGCCCAGCUGUCUUGGAGCAAAACAUCUGUUGUGGGGUGAGAAGGGAAAGGAGGGGUGAGGGUGCAGGGGCCCUCCUAGGAGGACAUCGGACCUGUUGGGCCGAGACCUCAUUAGAGAUCUAGAGCACGGAUGGGAGGAGCAGAGGCUCGAUUUGUGUCCUGUUCAGACUCCCACAGGCUGGGUGAUGGUGGGAGAUUUGUGCCCAUUCAGAUGUGGCGGCAGAGGAGGGCAAGGCCGAAGGAGCAGACAGCACCGCUUCUUGGGGAGUUGUGAAGGCAUCAUGCGGAGGGCCGAGCUUAGCAGCCAAGUGGAGGACAGCACCCUCCAUGCCUGGAUUCGUUACUCGCUCGUUCUCGAUGUUGAGCUGCUGGCAUAUUGCAGCACAACUAGAGAUGUACGGAUGCCCCCAUCUUGAUCUUACAGAAUCAGAGGUGCAGCCGCAAGAAAGCUACACCCUCUCGGUUUUCUCUGCUCUGCCAACACUAGUGGAAUAUGAUCACAUCCCAGGGAUCAGUGUCAUUUAGGGAUGUGACUAUGGGCUUCACUCAAGAGGAGUGGCAUCAUCUGGACCCUGCUCAGAGGACCCUGUAGAGGAAUGUGAUGCUGGAGAACUACAGCCACCUUGUCUCAGUAGGGUAUUGCAUUCCUAAACCAGAAGUGAUCCUCAAAUUGGAGACAGGCAAGGAGCCAUGGAUAUUAGAGGAAAAAUUUCGAAGCCAGAGUCAUCUGGGUGAGUUAGUGCCAGAUGGAAUUUAAAGAAUUAAUUAAUACCAGUAGAAACUAUUCAAGAAUGAAGUUCAAUGAGUUUAACAAAGGUGGAAAAUGUUUCUGUGAUGAAAGCAUGAAAUAAUUCAUUUUGAAGAGGAACCUUCUGAAUAUAAUAACAAUGGGAACAGCUUCUGGCUGAAUGAAGACCUCAUUUGGCAUCAGAAGAUUAAAAAUUGGGAGCAACCUUUUGAAUACAAUGAAUGUGGGAAAGCUUUCCCUGAGAAUUCACUCUUCCUUGUACAUAAGAGAGCUUACACAGGACAGAAAACAUGCAAAUAUACUGAACAUGGGAAAACCUGUUAUAUGUCAUUUUUUAUUACUCAUCAGCAAA